AACGCGAAGCAGGUUUGGCACACGAUAAGGAGACGGUUUUGAAGUGAAGUGCAGCAACAAAAAGGGAAUCGUCCUAACAUCAUUGGACUAUUCUGUUUACAGUUUUCACGAUGUUUGAGAGCUGUAAAAAGAGAGCAAGAACAAAUAAAUACUCUUCAAACAUCGGUCUCAUCUGUACCAGGAGAAAACUUUCAGGAGCAGCUACAGUGAAAAACGUUGCUGUUUAUGGGAGUGAGUCAGCAAAGAGGAUCGCGAGCGUUUCAGUGAAGAUUGGAAGGGCACAUGUCUCGAUAAUCCAUUACCACAUUCCAUGGGAGGAUCUGCCUACAAAUCCGGAGCUUCAAUGGCCGAUUCAACGCGAAGCAGGUUUGGCACACGAUAAGGAGACGGUUUUGAAGUGAAGUGCAGCAACAAAAAGGGAAUCGUCCUAACAUCAUUGGACUAUUCUGUUUACAGUUUUCACGAUGUUUGAGAGCUGUAAAAAGAGAGCAAGAACAAAUAAAUACUCUUCAAACAUCGGUCUCAUCUGUACCAGGAGAAAACUUUCAGGAGCAGCUACAGUGAAAAACGUUGCUGUUUAUGGGAGUGAGUCAGCAAAGAGGAUCGCGAGCGUUUCAGUGAAGAUUGGAAGGGCACAUGUCUCGAUAAUCCAUUACCACAUUCCAUGGGAGGAUCUGCCUACAAAUCCGGAGCUUCAAUGGCCGAUUCAACGAAGCAGGUUUGGCACACGAUAAGGAGACGGUUUUGAAGUGAAGUGCAGCAACAAAAAGGGAAUCGUCCUAACAUCAUUGGACUAUUCUGUUUACAGUUUUCACGAUGUUUGAGAGCUGUAAAAAGAGAGCAAGAACAAAUAAAUACUCUUCAAACAUCGGUCUCAUCUGUACCAGGAGAAAACUUUCAGGAGCAGCUACAGUGAAAAGCGUUGCUGUUUAUGGGAGUGAGUCAGCAAAGAGGAUCGCGAGCGUUUCAGUGAAGAUUGGAAGGGCACAUGUCUCGAUAAUCCAUUACCACAUUCCAUGGGAGGAUCUGCCUACA